rnacentral:rRNA from 1 species
AGAGUUUGAUCCCGGCUCAGAAUCAACGCUGGCGGCGCGCUUAACACAUGCAAGUCGAACGAGAAAGGGAGCAAUCCUGAGUAAAGUGGCGUACUGGUGAGUAACACGUGGAUAUCUACCUCCUGGUGGGGAAUAACCUGGGGAAACCUGGGCUAAUACCGCAUAAGUUCGAGAGAAGAAAGGCGCAAGUCGCCGGGAGAGGAGUCCGCGGUCGAUUAGGUAGUUGGCGGGGUAAAAGCCCACCAAGCCAAAGAUCGAUAGCCGGCCUGAGAGGGCACACGGCCACACUGGCACUGAAACACGGGCCAGACUCCUACGGGAGGCAGCAGUGGGGAAUCUUGCACAAUGGGGGAAACCCUGAUGCAGCGACGCCGCGUGAGCGAUGAAGCCCUUCGGGGUGUAAAGCUCUUUCGGCAGGAACGAUAAUGACGGUACCUGCAGAAGAAGCUGCGGCUAACUACGUGCCAGCAGCCGCGGUAAUACGUAGGCAGCGAGCGUUGUUCGGAAUUACUGGGCGUAAAGAGUGUGUAGGUGGUGUCGUAAGUUUGGUGUGAAAUCUCCCGGCUCAACUGGGAGGGUGCGCCGAAGACUGCGAUGCUGGGGUAUGGGAGAGGAAAGCGGAAUUCCUGGUGUAGCGGUGAAAUGCGUAGAUAUCAGGAGGAACACCUGCGGUGUAGACGGCUUUCUGGACCAUUACUGACACUGAGACACGAAAGCGUGGGUAGCAAACAGGAUUAGAUACCCUGGUAGUCCACGCCCUAAACGAUGCAUACUUGGUGUGAGCCAUUCAGUUGGUUCGUGCCGGAGCUAACGCGUUAAGUAUGCCGCCUGGGGAGUACGGUCGCAAGGCUGAAACUUAAAGGAAUUGACGGAAGGGCACCACCAGGAGUGGAGCCUGCGGCUUAAUUUGACCCAACACGGGAAAACUUACCAGGUCCGGACAUAGUGAGGAUUGACAGAUUGAAGAUCUUUCUUGAUUCUAUGGGUGGUGGUGCAUGGCCGUUCUUAGUUGGUGGAGUGAUUUGUCUGGUUAAUUCCGUUAACGAACGAGACCUCGACCUGCUAAAUAGUUUCAUAAAUCCUUCGGGAUUUGCUGUAGACUUCUUAGAGGGACUAUCGGUGUGUAGCCGAUGGAAGUUCGAGGCAAUAACAGGUCUGUGAUGCCCUUAGAUGCCCUGGGCCGCACGCGCGCUACACUGAUGCGUUCAUCGAGCUUACAACCUUGACUGAAAGGUCUGGGUAAUCUUUUGAAAUCGCAUCGUGCUGGGGAUAGAUGAUUGUAAUUAUUCAUCUUCAACGAGGAAUUCCUAGUAAACGCAAGUCAUUAGCUUGCAUUGAUUACGUCCCUGCCCUUUGUACACACCG